GGUGACGAUAGCAGAGAGGUCCCACCUGUUCUCAUACCGAACACAGAAGUUAAGCUCUCUUACGCCGAAAGUACUUUGGGCUCACCCACGGGAGGAUAGGUAGUUGCC
rnacentral:rRNA from 1 species